UAGAGUAAUAGUCUCAAACCUUGAGUGUA
rnacentral:piRNA from 1 species